rnacentral:lncRNA from 1 species
UGUUGAUCAAUUUAUGCAGAAUAGAAUAAUUUCAAAUUCAAACAAAAGCAUAAAAAAAUCGGUGAGUUAUUUUUUAAUUUCCAGCAAAGUAUAUAACCAAAGUAAAUUAGUUCACCGUACCACACAUACUUUGACAGAGAAAAUUGAAAGAACUGUCUUUAGUUUGUAAGUGUUUGUUGAUUUUUAUAUUAUUCUUACAAGGCUUUAAACAAAUCUGCAAUGCUUCAACAACUUAGCAAGAUUAUGAUAAAUGUCGUAUAUUGUUUCUGAUAUUUUUGUUUACUUGCUCACAAAACUUUGAAUAAUUGUAAUACUACGGGUUUUCUAUCACAGGAUUAGAUUACAUCAGCUGUAUUUUGAAACACCUUAGGAUUUUUUUUGUUUCUGGGUGAUCUCCAAUUUCGUACUUUAUUUGGCCUUUUUAACUGUUUUGAAUUCGAGCGUUACUGAUGAGUCUUUUGUAGAAGAAACGCGCUUCUAGUGCAGAUUCAAAAUUGAAACCCUGGUAUUUAUGAUGAGUUUUUUUAAUAUACAUGGAUCUUUGGAAUAUUUUUGACUCCGCUUAAUUCCUCACAUAUCUGCUCGUCUCUCUUCUUACAUUGAAUAACUGGGCCUCUUAUUCAAUUAAUGUCGUAGGAUUAUUGAUAUAUUUUAUUUGUUGAUGUUUGAUAAAAAUGGAGACAUUUUAUAUUUGAGAUCCAAAUUUAAUGGUUUAUCUCCCUAUACAUGCAACUAUUAAAGGGAAUUUCUACAUUCUACGGGCUUUUGUCGGAACUAUACUAGUUGGACAUUGGACGUUCAGUGAAAAAUAAUUCUAUUGUGUUUUAUUUUCAGAUGUCACUACUAUAAAACAUUUGCUAUCAAAAUUAUCUUAGUACUAUGCAUUAGAAUUAUUUCAACUCAAUCGUUGAGUCAUAUUCAGUCAAUCAAGCACUGUUUUUUGCGCUUUGGUGGGGUUGUUUCUCUUUGACACAUUUCCCAUUUCAUUCUCAAUUAUAUUACAGAAUUUUGAAUUACUCAGAAUUAAACAAAGCCAUGGUAUAUCUUUAAUAUAAAAUUUGGAAAUGAUGGGUUAAAUAACAUUGUGUAUUGCAGUGUUUUAUACCAUGAACAUUUACUUAAUUCGUUUUGUUUUUUUUCAAAAACAAAUGAACGAAAAAUUGCUAAUCUUUUUUCUUAACUUUAGUUAAGGAUAUUGCACUUUUAAAAUACACAAUCAAUUUUAUAAUAUUACAUUAGAAAAAUAGAUUUUACAUAAUUAUAACAUUCACACGAUUUAUUCAGUACGUGAAGUUUUGUAUUAAUAAAGUUCUAUCAGAAUGCGUUUGUUUUAUAAUUUUCUUACAGAAUAUAGUUCAAUUCUUUAAGAUUAUCUUUUAUUACUUUGAUACUAUAAGUAGUUAUCAAAGGUACCAGGAUUAUAAUUUAUAUCAACUGCACUGUGACUUAAUUACAAUGCGGCAUUUUUCAUUUGCUCUAAACAGCUGCAUGACUCUGACUGAGUUUAAAAUUUAAACCCAUCUAGUCUGGUUUCAAACCUAACCAUUCAUAUCAGAUUGCCCUCAUUGAUACAAAUUAUAGAUGACUACAUGAAAUGCAAAUCUUGAUAUGACAGUUCUGUUAGAUUAAAAAAAAACUUUUAAUUUGUUGCGCGUGAAGUUAAAUGAGCUAGUAAGAAUUAUAAAAUUGACGAAAAGUGCCCCAAGACUAAUUUUGUGCUGGACGGCUUUAGGCAAGCUUUGGUUCCCUUUUGCACUUACUGAAGUAAUAUUUUAUAGUGUUACACACAUAUAUUUUGGUAAAUACACUGUGAAUAUAGUAUCAUUGGUGAUGUUUUGAAAACAAUGAAAUACCUGUAUAGCAAUUUAGUUGAUAUUUGAUAACUAUAUAUUCAUUAGAAAAAUGUGAUGUACAGAGCACAAAUACUAAUGUGACGUAACGUUCAUAGUUCACGUGGACGUUAUAAUUACAUAAGCCUGAAAAUGUCAUGGCGGGUCACACAUCUCUUUAGCACCUGCUUAAAUUGAAAAUCACCCUAACAUCAUAUAUAAAGUCACAAAAAAAUUUCUACGCUUAAAACAGAAAAUUUAGAAAAUGUAUUUACAGUGUCUGAACCAGAGCAGGAUCAUUUAAAAAGAGAGAUAUUUAAUAUAUUUGAAUGUGAUUUUAACUACAACACCAAACAUUUUUUUUUCAUGUUCAAAUUUGAUCCUAUAAGAUGAAGGUUAUAUAAUCGGAAAUUCUUACGCAGGAAAUUUUAUACUAGUAAUACAUUAUAAUACAUUGUAUAUCCUUUAGGUGAGCAAAUCCUCUGCAAGAUGAAAAUAGUCAAGAUUCUGUGUGCGAUGUUCAUAAUGCUUAUAUCAGUUUUAGCAGGAACAGUUAGUGGACAUCCACCACCAGGACGACUUGAAUUUAACAGAGUAAAACGAGAUGCUAAUGACAACACUUUUGAUAGAAUCGGAAGGUAACUGACAAUUACAAAAAAAUGAUUAUUCAUGAUAUUGAGUUUUAAAUUACUACUGCUACUACUUUCUUACUCCAUAAUAAUAAUAAUAAUAAUAAUAAUAAUAAUAAUAAUAAUAAUAAUAAUAAUAAUAAUAAUAAUAAUAAUAAUAAUUCAUCAUGAUAAUAAUGAUAAUAUUAAUAAUAAUUUGUAUUUUUCAGGUGAAUAAAGAUUAGAUGGUCUGUGGCACCACGUGCACUAACUGGAUCUUUCAUCAUUUAAUAAUAGAGGCUUAUUUAAAUGGAUUUAUCGUUGAUCUAUAUAUUUGUUUUUAUUUCAUCUUUAGUGAUACUUUUUUGUUUUAACAUUCUAGUGGCAAAUUGUUUCUUGAAAAAUAAGGUUGUAAAUUGAUUUGCUGCAACUCAUAUAAAUAUCAAACAACAAUGGUGUCACAUGUGGAGCAUGAUUUGUUUACCCUCCCAGGUUAGAUUUUUUUUCCUAAAAUAAUAUCUUUAUUGCACUUUUCUUUGCUGUUUUCACAAAUUACUCGACCUACAGCAGUUACGAGAUCACUCCAAGUUUUUAAUGCGGUUCCUGUUGCUCAUUCUUUAGUUUUCUAUGUUGUGU